AGGAUCCAAGCGUUAUCCGGAAUCAUUGGGUUUAAAGGGUCCGUAGGUGGAUUAAUAAGUCAGAGGUGAAAGCCUGCAGCUCAACUGUAGAACUGCCUUUGAUACUGUUAAUCUUGAAUUAUUAUGAAGUGGUUAGAAUAUGUAGUGUAGCGGUGAAAUGCAUAGAUAUUACAUAGAAUACCAAUUGCGAAGGCAGAUCA
rnacentral:rRNA from 1 species